rnacentral:rRNA from 1 species
UGGGGAAUAUUGGACAAUGGGCGCAAGCCUGAUCCAGCCAUGCCGCGUGAGUGAUGAAGGCCCUAGGGUUGUAAAGCUCUUUCACCGGUGAAGAUAAUGACGGUAACCGGAGAAGAAGCCCCGGCUAACUUCGUGCCAGCAGCCGCGGUAAUACGAAGGGGGCUAGCGUUGUUCGGAUUUACUGGGCGUAAAGCGCACGUAGGCGGACUAUUAAGUCAGGGGUGAAAUCCCGGGGCUCAACCCCGGAACUGCCUUUGAUACUGGUAGUUUUGGGGUAGAGGGAGGUGAGUGGAAUUCCGGAGUUUAGGGGAAAAUUCUUAAAUAUUCGGAGGAAUACCAGUGGCGAAGGCGGCUCCCUGGCUCGAUACUAAACCUAGGGUUGCAAAGCAUGGGGGGCAAACCGGG